rnacentral:rRNA from 1 species
GUAGGAUAGGAAUGAAUUGUAUUAGUUAAAAGUUAUGUGAGGUAGAUAAGAGAAUAGUUGAUUUUAUAGGUAAAAUUUGUUAAAUUAAAUAUUUCUUAUAAUAGAAGGUUGAAGCUUUGAAAGUUAAAGUUAAAACUAGGAUUAGAUACCCUAUUAUUUUAAUUGUAAAAGAAGGAGGCUUGAGUAGUAUUAGUUAAGUGCUUGAAACUCAAAGAAUUUGGCGGUGUCUUAGUCUUUUCAGAGGAAUCUGUCCUGUAAUCGAUAUUACACGUUAAAUGUUACUUAAUUUAGUAUAGUCAAUUUGUAUACCGCCGUCAUAAGAUCAUCUUUAUAGAGAAAGAAUUUUCUUAAUAUUAUAAGAUAGUAUGUCAGGUCAAGGUGCAGUUUAUAAUUAAGUGGGAGAUGGAUUACAAUAAAUUUAUUUAAAUGGAUUUUCUAUUGAAAUAUAGGAAUGAAGGUGGAUUUGAAGGUAAUUUUGUUAAAUUAUGAUAAAAUGAUUAAAGCUCUAGGACAUGUACACAUCGCCCGUCGCUCUCAUUAUUAAGAUGAGAUAAGUCGUAACAUAGUAGUUGUACUGGAAAGUGUAGCUAGAAAGUCAA